UUGAACGCUGGCGGCAUGCCUUACACAUGCAAGUCGAACGGCAGCACGGACUUCGGUCUGGUGGCGAGUGGCGAACGGGUGAGUAAUAUAUCGGAACAUACCCUAGAGUGGGGGAUAACGUAGCGAAAGUUACGCUAAUACCGCAUACGCACUAAGGUGGAAAGUGGGGGAUCGCAAGACCUCAUGCUCAUGGAGUGGCCGAUAUCUGAUUAGCUAGUUGGUGAGGUAAAGGCUCACCAAGGCGACGAUCAGUAGCUGGUUUGAGAGAACGACCAGCCACACUGGAACUGAGACACGGUCCAGACUCCUACGGGAGGCAGCAGUGGGGAAUUUUGGACAAUGGGCGCAAGCCUGAUCCAGCAAUGCCGCGUGAGUGAAGAAGGCCUUCGGGUUGUAAAGCUCUUUUGUCAGGGAAGAAACGGUAGUCUCUAAUACAGAUUGCUAAUGACGGUACCUGAAGAAUAAGCACCGGCUAGCUACGUGCCAGCAGCCGCGGUAAUACGUAGGGUGCAAGCGUUAAUCGGAAUUACUGGGCGUAAAGCGUGCGCACGCGGUUAUAUAAGUCAGAUGUGAAAUCCCCGGGCUCAACCUGC
rnacentral:rRNA from 1 species